UACGUAGGUGGCAAGCGUUGUCCGGAUUUACUGGGCGUAAAGAGCGCGCAGGCGGUCCAUCAAGUCGCGUGUGAAAGCCCCCGGCUCAACUGGGGAGGGUCACGCGAUACUGAUCGACUCGAAGGCAGGAGAGGGUAGUGGAAUUCCCGGUGUAGUGGUGAAAUGCGUAGAUAUCGGGAGGAACACCAGUGGCGAAGGCGACUACCUGGCCUGUUCUUGACGCUGAGGCGCGAAAGCUAGGGGAGCAAACGGG
rnacentral:rRNA from 1 species